rnacentral:rRNA from 1 species
UAACUUUUAACAAUGGAUCUCUAGGCUCUCAUAUCGAUGAAGAACACAGUGAAAUGUGAUAAGUAAUGUGAAUUGCAGAAUUCAGUGAAUCAUUGAAUCUUUGAACGCACCUUGCACCUUUUGGUAUUCCAAAAGGUAUGCCUGUUUGAGUGUCAUGAAAAUCUCUCAUCAAAUUAAUUUUUGGUGGAUGUUG